AGAUGGCCAUCUAACUGUCUAGCCUCCAUGAAGAACAGAUGUUUAAAACUGAAGUUUGUUCAGAAAUGUGCUUUAGUCAGUCAAACACAGGCUUUUAUCACCCUCCCAAGUUGAAGGAAUGAAAAGCAGAGAAAACAACUUUCUUUAUAAGUCCUUUCUGUAUUUUCACUUCUGAUUUUCCCUUAUUGGGGGUUAGGGGAGGCCGAAUUCCUUUCAUUAGAAGCACUUUGCUGCCUGUUCAUCUUUAUUUCUGAUCUCUUGGUGGGCCCUUACAUGAGGCACAGAUGGAGAAUUGUUGAGAAUUCCUAAUGGAAUACUAGGGUUACUUGACAAGUGCUUUGUUUCUUUUUAAUUCAGUUUCUAGUUUUGAAGGAUACCGUCCUUCCUCAUGGCCUUGGCCGCCUUAGCAGUGCCAGUCUGUUGUGUGUAUGUUUAUAUUUACAAGUACUUUGGA